UACGUAGGUGGCAAGCGUUGUCCGGAUUUACUGGGCGUAAAGCGUGCGCAGGCGGUUCGGCAAGAAAGGUGUGAAAUCCCAGGGCUUAACCUUGGAAUGGCACUUUUAACUGCCGAGCUAGAGUAUGUCAGAGGGGGGUAGAAUUCCACGUGUAGCAGUGAAAUGCGUAGAGAUGUGGAGGAAUACCGAUGGCGAAGGCAGCCCCCUGGGAUAAUACUGACGCUCAGGCACGAAAGCGUGGGGAGCAAACAGG
rnacentral:rRNA from 1 species